AUUGAACGCUGGCGGCGUGCCUAACACAUGCAAGUCGAGCGGUAACAGGUGUAGCAAUACAUGCUGACGAGCGGCGAACGGGUGAGUAAUGCUUCGGAAUCUACCUUAUGGUGGGGAAUAACUAGCCGAAAGGUUAGCUACUACCGCAUACGUCCUACGGGAGAAAGCAGGGGAUCGCAAGACCUUGCGCCAAAAGAUGAGCCGAAGUCGGAUUAGCUAGUUGGUAGGGUAACGGCCUACCAAGGCGACGAUCCGUAGCUGGUCUGAGAGGACGACCAGCCACACUGGGACUGAGACACGGCCCAGACUCCUACGGGAGGCAGCAGUGGGGAAUAUUGGACAAUGGGGGAAGCCCUGAUCCAGCGACGCCGCGUGUGUGAAGAAGGCCUGCGGGUUGUAAAGCACUUUUAGUGGGGAUGAAAUGUGCAGGGUUAAUACCUCUGCAUUUUGACCUAACCCACAGAAAAAGCACCGGCUAACUCUGUGCCAGCCGCCGCCGUAA
rnacentral:rRNA from 1 species